AUAGUUAAGUGAAGAAGGGCGCACGGUGGAUGCCUUGGCACUAGGAGCCGAAGAAGGACGGGACAAACACCGAUAUGUCUUGGGGAGCCGUACGUAGGCAUUGAUCCAGGAAUUUCCGAAUGGGGAAAC
rnacentral:rRNA from 1 species